UCGUGGAGUGAUUUGUCUGCUUAAUUGCGAUAACGAACGAGACCUUAACCUGCUAAAUAGUCAGGCUAGCUUUGGCUGGUCGCCGGCUUCUUAGAGGGACUAUCGGCUCAAGCCGAAGGAAGUUUGAGGCAAUAACA
rnacentral:rRNA from 1 species